AAUACAUGAUGCUGUUGAUUUUUUCUCACAUGUUUGACCAUUCAUCUUAUUCAAAAAAUUUACGUAAUUAUAAUUUAUUUUGUUAUGAGUUGUUUUAUCACUCAUAGUACUUUAAGUGUGAUUUAUAUCUUUUACAUUUACAUAAAAUUUUUGAAUAAGAUGAAUGGUCAAACAUAUGAGAAAAAGUCAAUGGCGUCAUCUAUU
rnacentral:pre_miRNA from 1 species